UAAAGUUUCCAAGUGGGAAACACAAACCUCGUUCUUUAUUUUUCUUUUUCUUUCUUUUCUCUCUUUUCUCCCUUUCGGCCGCACUCUCUCCUCAUCAUUUUUCUCUUUGUAUCGUCUUCUUCCUCUCCCUGUCACUGACCAUGGAGCAGAAGAAGGAGAAAGAGGCUUGCGGAACAGUGAUGGAUCUGCAGCAGAUGCCGGAGGGUUGCAUAGCCAACAUCGUAUCGUUGACGACUCCUGAAGAGGCCUGCCGCCUGUCGUUGCUCUCUAAGAACUUCAAGUUAGCGGCGGAAUUCGACGCCGUUUGGGACAAGUUCCUUCCGCCUGAGACACCCACGAUCCAGUCCCAGUCCGGCGAAUCUGGAUUAUUGGCCGCCUGAUCCAAGAAGGAGCUUUACCUCGCUCUCUGCAACAGACCUGUCCUCAUCGACGACGGAGGUGGCUGAGCUUCUUCUUGUUGGCUGGCUUGAAAUCAGUGGGAAACUUGAAACACGCAUGUUGUCCCCAUCGACUCUGUACAAAGCUUACCUUGUGGUCAAGUUUGCUCGAAAUGCUUUUGGAUUUAAACACCUACCUGGGGAGGUCUCUGUAGGUCUGGAGGGAGGAGAACGUACUAAGCAGACUCUGCUUCUUCACAUCGAUGGAAAACUACGAAAGAGAGAUGGCUUACUCAAAAGAGAGGGGUGAUGCCGAAGGGGACACAGUGCGUGAAGUGGUGAUCAAUGACGACCGAUACCAGAGGGAGAGCCCCGAGUGGUUGGAGAUUGAGCUCGGCCACCAUAUUUUUUCAGGCCACUUAUUUGGGUGAUCGACGGGAUGAUUUGGCGGACGAUUCGUAAAAUCGUGGUUGUGCUGCUAAGAAGACGUAGCUGGAUUGGAGGGGUUAAAAGUGUAGAGGUGGACCUCAACACCCAAGUCGUUAGGAUUCUAGGUGCAACCUCUAAAGACCAUGACUGAAACUCUCAAGCAGACGGGUCGAAAAGCCAGAUUGAUUGGGCAAGGGAUCCCAGAAGGUCUUCCCAUUAAAAAAAUUGUGCUCUUGCGUAUCGGAUCUCAUAACUGAAAAGGCGUGUCACAACCCAACCUUGAGUCAUGACUAAGGUGGUGGUUAAAAACUGUAAUCAGAUGGGAGAGGAGAGGCAGCAACCAAUGCACCCAAGCGGAUAUUGAUCAAGUGCGAAAUGAGUGGGGGAAGUUUGUUGUCAAUACAUAUGUGCAUGAGCCAUGAAGUAGCGCGUUUGUUGCUGGUCCAUUUUUGCUAAGGAAAGCAUCUUUUUUUGUGCUCAUUGUCAUUCACCAUGUGUUGCAUGUUUUGGAACAAUGGUUAUAUAUGUAUUAGCUUUUUGAUGUCCCAAGUAGAUGGGCAUGCACUAGAAUGCUUUUCUUGUUUAAAAUGUUGGGCUCAAUGAUUAGUGGUUUGCAAUGUUUAUAUUUGAUGGUUUGCAAUGUUUAUAUUUGGUAUGUAAAUGGAUCAAAUGCACAAUUAUACUAUAUAUAAAAGAUGAGUCCACUGUUCAUUGAGCGUUACUGUUCAUUCGUGGGGAAAAAGACGAUUAUGGCCUCAUUUGGAU